UUUCCGUUGGUGAACCAGCGGAAGGAUCAUUACUGAGUGAGGGCUUCGGUCCGACCUCCAACCCUUUGUGAACCAAACUUGUUGCUUCGGGGGCGACCCUGCCGCUUCGGCGGUGCGGCGCCCCCGGAGGCCAUUAAACACUGCAUCAUUGCGUCGGAGUUUAAGUAAAUUAAACAAAACUUUCAACAACGGAUCUCUUGGUUCUGGCAUCGAUGAAGAACGCAGC
rnacentral:misc_RNA from 1 species